rnacentral:misc_RNA from 1 species
GUGAAUCAUCAAAUUUUUGAACGCAAAGGGAAAGAGGGGGGAGGAGGGAGAGUAUGCCUGUUUGAGGGUCAGUUUAAAUAAAAAUCGGUGUGGUUGGGGCCUUUCGGGGGGACGCACCGGAUUGGGGUCGGCUUGCCUUCGGUUAAGUGACCUAAAAUUUUGCAUGAUUUUUUUCGAACGCAUUUAAAUGAUUUUACGUACGUUUGCGAUAGGGAAUAAGAGGUGUGGUCAUGGGCAUGAGGGGAGAAGAUAAUUGU